GGUACCUUGGAUGCCGGUUUGGUGAGACAUGACGCUGAAGGGCCGCCGACUCUGGGACUCGCAACUUCGGGGGGAGGAGGGACAAGGUCUGCCACAGUACUUCCAGAGUAACAAACAGCACUGAAGAUCUCCAUAAAACACUAAAGAACUAUGGAAAGCAAUGCAGAGCAUUAUAGAUUUCUACAGAAGACUGAAGUGUUCCAGAAACGUACAGCCAACCGGAAAAAGUGAGGAAACUUACCAAAACAGAAUACUACUCAUCUGAGGCUGAGAGAUUGUGACUGAACGGGAAUUCAAAGCUGGUUCUCAGAGUUUUAUUUAGCCUAAUAUUCAGACCAUUACACCAUUAUGCUAUGAAAACUUGGCUCUUCAGGCAGACCUUUGGAAAUGGGUAAGACAUCUGCCAAUCAAAGGACUAAACAAUCUAAUAUUUUCACUGGUUGAAUUGGCUGCGACUGGGAUGCUGUAUUAUUCAUUUUUAUGGCAAUUUGUACUGUUUCUUUUUAAAUUGGAUUUUUUUUGUAAUAGGUUGUUUUUACUGAUGUCAUUGUUUAAUAUGCGUUGUAAUUUUAUCUUUAUUUUUAUGCAUUAUGGCAUUUGUAUGUGCUUCUGUAAUCUCCCCUGAGUACUUCUGGGAGAUUGUGGUGGGGUAUUAUAAAGUUUUUGUUGUUA